UCCUGGUGGCUCAGACGGUAAAAGUGUCUGUCUGCAAUGCGGGAGACCCAGGUUCCAUCCCUGGGUCAGGAA
rnacentral:tRNA from 1 species